AGAGUUUGAUCAUGGCUCAGGACGAACGCUGGCGGCGUGCCUAAUACAUGCAAGUUGAACGAUGAUUUCUGGUACUUGUAUCAGGAUGAAGAGUAGCGAACGGGUGAGUAACGCGUGGGUAACCUACCUCUUAGCGGGGGACAACUAUUGGAAACGAUAGCUAAUACCGCAUAACAAUAUUAAACACAUGUUUAAUAUUUGAAAGUACCAAUUGGUACACUAGGAGAUGGACCCGCGUUGUAUUAGCUAGUUGGUAGUGUAAUGGACUACCAAGGCGAUGAUACAUAGCCGACCUGAGAGGGUGAUCGGCCACAUUGGGACUGAGACACGGCCCAAACUCCUACGGGAGGCAGCAGUAGGGAAUCUUCGGCAAUGGACGAAAGUCUGACCGAGCAACGCCGCGUGAGUGAAGAAGGUUUUCGGAUCGUAAAACUCUGUUGUUAGAGAAGAACGUUGUGUAGAGUGGAAAAUUACACAGGUGACGGUAUCUAACCAGAAAGGGACGGCUAACUACGUGCCAGCAGCCGCGGUAAUACGUAGGUCCCGAGCGUUGUCCGGAUUUAUUGGGCGUAAAGCGAGCGCAGGUGGUUUAAUAAGUCUGAUGUAAAAGGCAGUGGCUCAACCAUUGUGUGCAUUGGAAACUGUUAGACUUGAGUGCAGUAGAGGAGAGUGGAAUUCCAUGUGUAGCGGUGAAAUGCGUAGAUAUAUGGAGGAACACCGGUGGCGAAAGCGGCUCUCUGGACUGUAACUGACACUGAGGCUCGAAAGCGUGGGUAGCAAACAGGAUUAGAUACCCUGGUAGUCCACGCCGUAAACGAUGAGUGCUAGUUGUUUGGGGCUAUCCAGCCCUAUGUGACGCAGCAAACGCAUUAAGCACUCCGCCUGGGGAGUACGACCGCAAGGUUGAAACUCAAAGGAAUUGACGGGGCCGCACAGCGGUGGAGCAUGUGGUUUAUUCGAGCACGCGAGACUACAGUCUGACUACAAUGCUAUCUAGAGAUAGAGUACUCGGUACACUGGAAAAAAGGUGGUGCAUGAUUGUCGUCAGCUCG
rnacentral:rRNA from 1 species